CACACAGGCAGUCUGAAACAGCCACUGUAACCCCUAAUCACAACCCCGAAGGCUGGACAUCAAAUGCUGCAAUGUUGAAAACAGAUGAUCAGAGACUGAGGCCAUCAGAGCAGACAGCUGAGAGGCAGGAAGACACGAUUUGGCACAGGAGCGAGACAAUGAGACUGUUAGACCGGCACGAACUGUUCUUCACCAGACUUGAACCCAGUCAUCAUGGUCAACUCCUCUCUGCAUCUCAAGUUUGUUGACAUACAUGGUGAGCUACUGGACAAACUGGUACCUCCAUACUGAGAUAAGCGGUCUUGUAAAUGCAAAAAGUAACGGCGUCAUACCACCCCACAGCAUUCAUUUUAAAGACGUACUUCUGGCUACAUAAUUCGCAAUCUCCAGAAACAUAUAUACCGUAGGGCUACGUUUUCAGAAUGAGCCUAUGCUGGUUUAAAAACAGCGGGUUUCCUCAAUUUUUUUAAGUCAGCUAAUUGCUAAUUUCAGUGACUACUGACUGAGUUACAUGUUGAAUAUUGAAUAUAU